rnacentral:rRNA from 1 species
UAAGCAGACAGUGAAAUCGUGUGGGCUCAACCAUACACACAUUGCCUGAACUGCUCAGCUAGAAGAUGAGAGAGGUCGCUAGAAUUCCUAGUGUAGGAGUGAAAUCCGUAGAUAUUAGGAGGAAUACCGAUGGCGUAGGCAGGCGACUGGCUCAUUCUUGACACUAAGGCACGAAAGCGUGGGAGCGAACGGGAUUAGAUACCCCGGUAGUCCACGCCGUAAACUAUGGGAUGCUA